UACGGGGGGGGCAAGCGUUAGUCGGAAUUAUUGGGCGUAAAGGGCGCGUAGGCGGUUGAAUAAGUCAGAUGUGAAAGCCCUUGGCUUAACCAAGGAAGUGCAUUUGAUACUAUUUGACUUGAGUAUGGGAGAGGGAAGUGGAAUUCCUGGGGUAGAGGUGAAAUUCGUAGAUAUCAGGAGGAACACCGGUGGCGAAAGCGACUUCCUGGACCAAUACUGACGCUGAGGCGCGAAGUCGUGGGGAGCAAACAGG
rnacentral:rRNA from 1 species